CUUUAUGAUGUUUUCGUACGUUUGGUUUGAUUGGUUAAAGUUCUAUAAUAUGAACAAAUCAAAUACUUCUUUACAAACCAAAUAACAAAAAUGGCGUCGCCCUUCGUGAACAAACGAACAUGACACUUACACAACUCAGCGCGAAAAUAUGAAGAAAUAUCCAACAGAUACUGUCUUUGUCAACAAAGUAAUUCAGAAAAUUAAAUAUACAAACGCCAAAUUAGGAGAGAAAAGAUACUGGAUCGCCGCAUUCCUCGCAGGGGCUGCGAUUGAAUUUUGCAUGGUGAAACUGACCGUGAGAGAUCACAAUUUUUAUAAGAGUUACACAAGAAAAGAAGCAUUGAAGGAAGCUGAACGACUGCUUGAAGAAGAACAAGCAAAGAACCAAGUUGAAGAUUUACUAAAGAACACUCCCCGAGAAGUUCUAGAGACAGUCAAGUUUUGAAAGAUAUGGGAUUCCUUGAUUACUACUUCACCAAGCGUCACAUGACAGUGCUGGCAAAAACGUUCUUCUGGAUGUUCCUUGGAAACCAGUGUGUCCACAUGUACUAUCAACCUUUAACUGGCUUUGACAGAGAAGUUCAGAAACAACUUCAUAUUCUACGACAGCAGGCUCAGCAGGAGGAGAAGACAGAUGCUGGACAGGCUUAAUGUGAUAUUGUGAUGGUGUACUGGAAGGAAUGUGUACAUGUAGUUUGUGUACUUGAGGACAAAAUGUCAAUUGUUAUUUGUUUGAUAUGUGUGCAACCCUUUUAUACAUGCAUUGUCUGAAAUAAAUUUGUUAUAGAUUGAA